UGGAUGGGAGGUGCCCCGGGGACACAGGCCUCCCUCUCCAGGGUCAGCCGGGUCUGUGUCAUGGCCAGGUAUGCCCAGGGACCGGCACUCAGCACCUGUGGAUGAUCCAGAGGUGACGCUGACGUGCAUGAAUCCGAUCGCUCCCCACCUGGCUGGUCCCCCAUGUUCCCACCUCCGCCAACUACUCUGGAACCCCAACCUUCCUGAGCCCCAGAACCAUGCCCUCCCCUGCCAGGCAAGCCUCAGGGUGCGAGGCCAGGUGGGUUGGACAUCUGGGGACACGACGGCCAGUGACUACACCCAUCCCACCCGGCUGGCCUGGACCGCAGACUCCACCCCGGGGUCCAGGUGCUUGGACCCUGGGCCAUGGCUGGGCCAGGGCUCCUGGAGGCAGCAGUGGAGGCCGACUCAGGGCAGGGCGAAGUCGGUCCGCCCCUUCCCCUUCUCCUUUCCUCCUUCCGCCUUGUCUUCCUGGCAGGACCUUGGACAGAGGUCCAGCCUGUGCCUGGCUGCAGCCCUGGGUGGAGUCAGAGGGUGGCAAGCUGCCCGGGGAGGCCGGGGGCCACCUCCAGGAUGACCAAGUGUCGGGGGGCCACUGUAACUGGCCAUCCCCCGGGCACUCAGUGAUUUCAGCCCUUUGUAUACAUGAGCCGUGACCCCGGGAGCAGGUCCCGGCCUCUUCCUCACCCCAAGAGGCCCUCAUCCUCCCCAGCCAAGGCCCGUGGGUGGCCGGCCCUCCCUCCAGCCCCAAGAGGUCCAGCUGUUCCACAGGCUCUACAUCUUUCGCGGCUGGAGCCCGAGCAGCCCUCAGGGGCCUGGAUCCGGGCCCUGGAGCCCCUCAGGGAGGACAGGUCCCAGGUCACUUGCUGGCUCCCAGGCCCCUGCAGGAGUCGCUCCAGACUCCACCCCUGCCUGCAGAGGCUCCGAGGACCCCGAUGCCCUUGGGUCGGGCUCUGGAGUCGCACCGGCUUCUGCUCCUGCCCCGGACUCUUGAGAAGGAAACAGAGUGAUGGUUGCAGUGGCUCCAAGGCGUCAGGGUGAGAAGAAGGAAGGUCCCACCUCACACCAGCGCCAGCCUCUCCAGGGGCCUUUGCAGAGACACAGCUCACCCCAGAGCCUCCCCGAGAAGCCGCGGCCAGGAACCCACACCAGGACCCCUGCCCCCCUGCAGGCCGCAGCCCGGGGCUCUCAGUCUCUGCUCCUGGCCCCACACCAGCCCCCGGGGGCUCCUCCCUGGGUGGCCCAGCACCGCCCGGGCCCCGUGAACACACAUCUCCCACCCCAGCCUUCUCACCCUCGGGCUCUGGCUCCAGGGGCUCCGGGUCCUCAUCCCAGGACCGGUGAACCAGGACCCUGUGGAGGGGCCAGGGCGGUGAAGGAGGCCUUCUCAGGCCAACUCCAGGCCCUGCUUCCCGAGACCUCCGUGCAGCCACUCUCUCCCUGGGUCCAGGGUGGCCCUCCUGGGCGACGGGGCACUCGCACAACUCUGCAGGACAGGUGAAUCGGGAUUCCGACAGUCGCCUCCCGAGUUCAUCGGUUGAUUUCUGUAAAGACAGUGACCCGCGGACGGCCCGGAGACAUCACAGCCCCGCCCAGCCAUCCUCAGUGUCCUUCCGCCCUCUCUCCCCGCUGCUCCCAGAUCGGACACAGACCUGAGUGUGCACAGCCCUGCGCUUGGGACACAGUGACAUCCACCAGCAGGGCUCAGGAUGAACCUUGGGGAAGAGAGGGCUACCCCAGCACAACCUGUCCCUGCCCUCCAGCCUUGACAGGGGUGUGAGCCUGACCCGCCCACCAGGCAUCUAACCCCUUCAUCAGCCUGCACCUGCUCAGGUGGGCCCUCCACACACGACCCCUCCUUCCAUGCACACACACACACACACGGGAGGGGACGUGGGGCCGCACAGGUCCGAUCAGAGCGGUGUUGGGCUGGACUGGAUGUCUCUGGGUCUCCUGUGUUACCUUUGGGUCCCUGCGAGCUAGAGACCUGAGGCGUCCUGUGCACGACCUGACCCACUGUCUCCAGGGUCGGGAAGGGUCGCGGCCGCGGGCUCCCCCGAGCCGACAGCCGCGGGACACGGGCACACAACAGGAGAACAUGUUCGUCAGGUGAAGGUGUCCCAACGAAUGAGCCCAGUCGGGCGCUGUCCCCACAACGGGCGCCAUCAGGGAGCCACCCGUAGACACGUCCCGUGCCUGCUAUCCCAUGAGGCUCGUGGGCACACGUGGGCGUGGAAGGAUGAGGAAGGGGUGGGCCUGGCACGGAACACACUCACGCGGGCCUGGGUCUGCUCCGGGUCCAGGCACGGCCACCCCUCCUGCCUGAGUCCCAGGCCCCGGGGGAAGGUGGAGGUGAACUCGUUCAGACCCUGGGCCCACCAGACACGCACUCCAGGGGCCCCAUUGCAUUUGGGCUCUGGUCCCAGUGCCUGGUCUGGGCCUACGUGCUGGGCGGUCCCCACUGUGGCUCCCAGCCUUCCCGAAUCCUGGUCCCACGUCCCUCUGUCACCCCGUCCCCUCCCGUGUGGAUGGCCCGUGUGACUGGGUUCUAAGGGCUAGAACAUGAUGACCGGUGUCAUUUCCUGGCCGAUUCAUGGAAUUUCUGGUUUCCUCUCUCCUGGGUCCAUUCUCUGUCUCUGCCUCGGACUCUGUCUGUCUCUGUGUGUCUCGCGGAAGCAGGGCCUGUGGGCUCCAGGGUCCAGGUGACAACCCUCAGAAGCCUCCUUUGUGGCCCGUGUCCCUCCCCUGGC